UCACUACAUCACAUAGGCGCCUAUUCAUUAAGGGUAUAGUGGUCUUUACACUUCAAAAGACCACACUCCAAGAGCGCCUCUUCCUAAACCUCAUUAAGGGCAAUUUAGUCAUUGUUAUGUAAUAGUAUAAAUAGACACUUUAGAUACUAUUUUCAUUAGACUUUUGAUGAUAUUGAACAUUACUCUUAAUUUGUAGCUUUAGUCUUCUAGUAUAUCCCUAGAAUCCGAAAUUAGGUCCCUUGAACAUUGAAAUUGGUUUUUCACUUGUCUUGGGAAAUUUGCAAGAAAGGUGUGUUUGAGGAAGUGUGAGUCCUUUGGGUCACCUAAGAGGAAGGUUUGAACUUCUAUUUAUGAGGUGUGAUUGAUGGUUUGAUACACCAUCUUUUGUUAAUUAUUUGGUAGAAGUAAGGUUCUUUCUAUCUAUCUUUAAUUUCAUGCAAUUCUUCUUCUUCUUUAUCUCCUUCUAUUGUGUUGUUUUCUCUUCAUGUGCUUGCUGGUUUUUGUGUUUUGUGAGUCCAUUUUUGUUAGUUCAUAGCCUUUAGGCUAUCAUUUGGUAUCAAAGCCUUGGUUAGGGUUGUUCCAACAUUCCUAAAUCUUGGUUUUAGUGUUCUUAUUUAGAAAAUCUCAACAAAAAAGAUCCAAAAAAUCAGAAAAUACAAAAAAAAGUGUUGUCUUGUGUGUUUGUUGUAGAUCUGAAUUUUCUAAGUUCGAUCUACAAGAUUUUAUUGUGUUUUUGAAGUGUCUUGCACUAGAUCCUUGCUCUCUAGUUCCUAGGGAGUCUAGAUCUACUUUUAGAGUGAAGAUUGGUUGAUUUUGAGCUAGAUCCACCAUUUUUGUGGAUUGUUUGAAGCUUUUUGGAGAAGGUGACGUUUUGGGUUUGUGUUGGUGACUUGAUUCGUGGCUGAAUUUUAGUUGGUUGAGUUUGUUUUGGCAUAAGGAACCUAGAUCUAAAAAAAAAAAAUCAGAUUUGGAGCUCGUUUGCAUGGUGGUCAAACUUGGUUAGCACUUGAAUAUUCAUAUUGUUCUUCCAUGAUCUUCAUAUUUAAGUAAAGAAGAAUGUUCGAGGGUGUUGUUUGAUCCAUAAAAUGGAAGAAAGAGAGUAAAAAAGUUGUUAGUCCAAAAGCAUAUUCAAAGAAUAUUUCAUUCUUCCAAAAGGAGGAGGGGACAAGGGGACAAACAAGUACACUUGAAAGUACAAGGUGGGGACCAACUCAUUUUGAAUUCAUUUGAAGCUUCGAAAAGGCUUCAAAAACCUCCAUUUUUCUUCUAUAACCGAAAUCCUUUCAUCCCUGUAGGAGUUCUUGGCCUAAACAAAGAAUUGGGAAAAUUGAAAAUUUGAAAAGUGACAACCAACCACGUAGUGCCAUGUCAUCACUUGUGCUCAACCAAAAUUCGACUCUAAAAUUAGAUUUCCUAGUUUCUAAUUUUUUAUUAUAUUUUCUUUUAAGCUAAUUCUAUCACUAAUUAGCAAACUAGUAAGUACCUACUAGGUUGGUAAUUAGUCUAGAGUUCAUUUAUUUCGUGUCUUUGGUUUUUGUGUACUUUUCUCAUUUUUAAGAUGGUAUUUUGUUGGUUCAAGUUCGUACAUCACUUUAUUUGAGUCAUUUCAAACAAAGAUCGAUUAUGGACCAAAGCUUCUCACCUCUUAAGUAACUUGCAAAGCAUUUCCGGUUCUCCAACAAUUGUGAGGCCAAGUGUGAGGUGAGGUUGAGUGUGAGUGAAGUGAGGUUUUUGAACUAACUUGUUUGAUCAUUUUGUAGGUUGGUUGCUUGAUUUUUUUUUGUUCUUUAAGGUACAUUUGACAUGGAAUCUAAAGGAACUACUUCCCAAUCUUUGGGGAAUGAUGUUAUUGGAGCCUUGAUGGCUCAAUUGAUGCCUUGGGCCGAGAAAUAAAGAAUAGUAGUGAUGCCUUUUCCCAAAAGGUGGAGGAUAGUAAUGAUACUUUGAGGAGUGAAUUGAAGAGUGAUGUUGAUGCCUUGAUAAGUGAAAUGGUGACUAUGAAGGGUGAAAUUUGCACUUUUAGUGGAAGACUUGAUUGUGUUGAAAGUAGGAGGAACUCAUGACCUUCUACUCCUAAUCCCUACCAUAAAUCCUCUAGUGUCCAAGCUAAUAAAUCUUCCAUGAAUAUAACACCCGAUAACCUACACCAAAUUCUUAACCCUCCAAGAGUUCCAAAAAAAAACAGCCACUAAAACAAUCCCAAAUCUCUCCGAACCGAACCCUAUAAAGACUACUACAUUCCCAAAUGAACCAAGUUCAACAAGAAGGACUUGGAACUCAAAAUUCACCACCAUAUCUGAACCAAAUACCUCCACAACAUACCACUUACCAAAUGUCAAAUCCCAUGGACCAAAGACCUUACCAUCCGCCACCUCCAAUACCAUAAGUUCAAGUCCUAAAUAAUUAAAGACCAAACCCACUUCCCAAAGGCCUCAAAUCCGAAACCCACCCAUCCAAAUAGAGGAUAUGGUAGAGGGGAGCAAGAAGGUUAUGAAGUUCCUCAUGAUGUUUAUUGGUUUGAUGAAGGAGAGAGGGGAAGAUAUGAGCAAAGGGGACCUUAUGGUAGAUUCCGAGGGAAAGAUGCAAAGGAUAGGCAUGGUGAUCAACCAACAAUUUGAGACAUUGACAUUAAUUCAAUCAAGGUUGGCAUUCCUUGGGAAUCUUCUUAUGAAAAGUUGUUCCAAGUGAAUGACUUAACCGAGGAGAAGAAAAGUUGUUAUGCCAUUGCACACUUUGAAGGAUAUGCCAACACUUGGUAGGAUUACUCUAAGAGGUUCGAGAAUGUCUUGAUUGGUGGCCAACCACCUCCUUGGGAAGACUUGAAAAGAGUAAUAAGAGAGAGGUAAGUACCAAAAUAAUAUAGACAUGAACUUCUUGCAAAGAUUUACAAUCUAAAGCAAGGAAGAAAGAGUGUCAUGGCCUAUUAUGACGAAUUUCAGCAACUCAUUUUGAAGCUUGAUCAUAGAGAUGAAGAAGUCGUACAUGAUGUUAUUCUCUUCAAGGUUAGAUUGAACAAGGACAUAUCAUCCCGUUUGACUCUUCACAACAUUGGAAUCAUGGUUGAAGUCUUCCAAGCGGCCAUGGAGAUUGAAAAAGAGAACAAAGAGAGGUCGUCUUACAAGAACAAAGAGGUAAGCCCUUUGACUUCGGAUUGGAACAAAAACAAAUCUUCUCCAUCUUCUCAAAUAUCAAACAAGCAAGUUUCAUACUAAUCUACAAAGUUAAAGGUGAAGCCGAAUGCUAUUCCUACUUCAUCUAAGGGCUUGCAAUGUUUCAAGUUUCAAGGUUGAGGUCAUCGAUCAAGUGAGUGUUCUACACAUAGAAAUGUGAUCCUAAGGGAAGGUAGGUUAUACUAUAUUGGUGAAAAAGUUGGAUUAGUAAUUAAGGGGAAUGAUGACAAAUCUCAAGAUGGAGAGUUCUUAGAACCCAAAACUUAAGAGGGAAGUGAAAAAGAGGUGUUGCCUUAUGAAGGGGAAUGUGAUGUCCCUAGUUAUGUGGUUUGGAGGCCUUUGUUUAGUAAGGUCUUGGAUGAUCUAAGAGAGAACCUCUUUCAUACCAAGUGCCUUAUUAAAGGAAGUGUGAGUUCCAUGAUUAUAGAUAGUGGGAGUGGUGUGAACAUUGUUAGUGUCACUUGUUUUGAUCACUUGAAAUUACCCACUAUCCCUCACUAGAACCCAUACAAUCUUCAAUGGUUAAACAAGUAUGGUGGAUUCAAGUUUAAAUGGUAAUGUGCGAUUAGAUUUAAAAUAGGGAAUUAUCAUGAUUAAGUGAUGUGUGAUGUAAUCCCUAUGCAUGCAUGUCAAAUUUUGUUGGGAAGUCCUUGGCUGGAAGGACUAAUAAGUACACCUUUGAGCAUGCUGGUCGAAGAUUCACUUUUCUUCCUCUUCCACCAUCUAGUGUGAAUGGAAUACAAGAUAAAACCAAGAAGUUGGAUAAAAAAAGAAAGAAGGAAAAGGGAGGAAAGGUUUCGGAUUGUGAGAAGGGAAAGGGGGAGACAACUUUGUUUGUGGGACUUUCCCACAAAGGUCCCUCGAUACUCACUAACCCAAAGGAUAGCAUUUUACCUAGCCUUGAUUCUCCUUAUUUGCAGGUUCAAGCUUAUGAAUUAUCAAAGAAGGAUUAAAAAUAAAUCUCACAUGAGGUAGCUUCAAAGGAGUGGACUGUCCUAGUCCAAACUGAGGUAGUGAUGCUAUUCCCGAUAUUUCCUUGAGCUCAAAUUGUUGUUAUGUUAUUCCUUAUGUAGAGGAUUAAGAAUUUCUUGAUGAAGGCGUACAUGAUUCUUCUCUUGUUAGCUCUCUUGAUAUGCAUAAUAAACCAUGUGCACCUAAGAUUAGUUAACUACUUGAAUAUGAGAAUAGUGUGGUUGAAAACUUUCAAGUUAGUGUUGAUGCUAGGAAUUAGGGUCUUGAUAUUGAACAUGGUUCUUUGAACUUGUGUAAUGAAAUCCAUUAUAUUAAUCUUGUUCAUAGUAACCUUGUGUUUGUCUUAGGGGUGGGUAAUGCCUUGAAUGAUUGUGAACUUAGUAACAUAGUGAAAGGAGUGGGCCAUCUCGACUUAAACCUUUAUCAUUUGAUCCCAUUUGACCCUAGAAUAUUCUUGAGAUGUGAAGAUUAUGGUUUCUGGUCAUGCUCACUUAUCUUUGAUAUUGAUGCUAUUCAUGUCUUUGGUAUCCUUUAUGAUAAGCUUUUAUGUCAAAUACUAAGGAUAGGUGGGUGUAUGUCAAGUGUGAGCAACUAUGGGUUGAUGAUAUGAGUGUGGUACUAAUAAUACCCCUCCUACCGGAAGGAUUGUGUGUUUGUUUUUCUCUAUCUUUGGUUUUUGCAAGAUCUGAAUUUGAGGACAAAUUCCUUCAAGAUGGAGAGGAUGAUACAAGCACAAGGAGCACAAGGAUUUCAAGGUCUUGUGGAAGGUUCAAGUUUAGAUUUGGCAAGUUCUUGAAGACCCUUUUUGAUCCUUUUCAAAGCCUUGAUCAAAUUAAAAAUAAAGAGGGAUCACUACAUCACAUAGGCGCCUAUUCAUUAAGGGUAUAGUGUUCUUUACACUUCAAAAGACCACACUCAAUUUAGUCAUUGUUGUGUAAUAGUAUAAAUAGACACUUUAGAUACUAUUUUCAUUAGAAUUUUGAUAAUAUUGAGCAUUACUCUUAAUUUGUAUCUUUAGUCUUCUAAUGUAUCCCUAGAAUCCAAAAUUAGGUCCCUUGAACAUUAAAAUUGGUUUUUCACUUGUCUUGGGAAAUUUGCAAGAAAGGUGUUCUUGAGGAAGUGUGAGUACUUUGGGUCACCUAAGAGGAAGGUUUGAA
rnacentral:lncRNA from 1 species